rnacentral:lncRNA from 1 species
GCAGCCAUCAUUCACCUUCAUCUGCAGCACUUUGCCAGAGCAACAGAUUGCAGAUACAUGGACUUCUCUACCUGCAGGCUAUGCACACUAGUACAGCGGUGUGAUAAGAGCUUCUCCGUGCCCUUCUCUCAAGUGUCCCUGAUGUUAGGAGCUUCGGAAUGCUUGAAUGACUCAUCACUGUGCAUAUUGAAAGGAGCAGAGCUCAAAGAAGAGCCAUUGGAUUCCUGUGGCACAGUUAUGAAGGGAGAAGUUGGAAGAAGAUUGAACACAGUUUAGCUACAGCCUGACUCCAUGUCGGGAGGAGAGCAGAG